rnacentral:rRNA from 1 species
UACGUAGGGUGCGAGCGUUGCCCGGAUUUAUUGGGCGUAAUGGGCGCGUAGGCGGCUCUGCACGUUCGUUGUGAAAUCGCCCGGCUCAACUGGGCGGGGUCAGCGGAUACGGCAGAGCUUGAGCAAGCUAGGGGGCAAUGGAAUUCCCGGUGUAGUGGUGGAAUGCGUAGAUAUCGGGAGGAACACCAGUGGCGAAGGCGGUUACCUGGAGCUUUGCUGACGCUGAUGCGCGAAAGCGUGGGGAGCGAUCCGG